GUCGAGCGGCGGACGGGUGAGUAAUGCCUAGGAAAUUGCCCUGAUGUGGGGGAUAACCAUUGGAAACGAUGGCUAAUACCGCAUGAUGCCUACGGGCCAAAGAGGGGGACCUUCGGGCCUCUCGCGUCAGGAUAUGCCUAGGUGGGAUUAGCUAGUUGGUGAGGUAAGGGCUCACCAAGGCGACGAUCCCUAGCUGGUCUGAGAGGAUGAUCAGCCACACUGGAACUGAGACACGGUCCAGACUCCUACGGGAGGCAGCAGUGGGGAAUAUUGCACAAUGGGCGCAAGCCUGAUGCAGCCAUGCCGCGUGUGUGAAGAAGGCCUUCGGGUUGUAAAGCACUUUCAGUCGUGAGGAAGGUGGUGUAGUUAAUAGCUGCAUUAUUUGACGUUAGCGACAGAAGAAGCACCGGCUAACUCCGUGCCAGCAGCCGCGGUAAUACGGAGGGUGCGAGCGUUAAUCGGAAUUACUGGGCGUAAAGCGCAUGCAGGUGGUUUGUUAAGUCAGAUGUGAAAGCCCGGGGCUCAACCUCGGAAUAGCAUUUGAAACUGGCAGACUAGAGUACUGUAGAGGGGGGUAGAAUUUCAGGUGUAGCGGUGAAAUGCGUAGAGAUCUGAAGGAAUACCGGUGGCGAAGGCGGCCCCCUGGACAGAUACUGACACUCAGAUGCGAAAGCGUGGGGAGCAAACAGGAUUAGAUACCCUGGUAGUCCACGCCGUAAACGAUGUCUACUUGGAGGUUGUGGCCUUGAGCCGUGGCUUUCGGAGCUAACGCGUUAAGUAGACCGCCUGGGGAGUACGGUCGCAAGAUUAAAACUCAAAUGAAUUGACGGGGGCCCGCACAAGCGGUGGAGCAUGUGGUUUAAUUCGAUGCAACGCGAAGAACCUUACCUACUCUUGACAUCCAGAGAACUUUCCAGAGAUGGAUUGGUGCCUUCGGGAACUCUGAGACAGGUGCUGCAUGGCUGUCGUCAGCUCGUGUUGUGAAAUGUUGGGUUAAGUCCCGCAACGAGCGCAACCCUUAUCCUUGUUUGCCAGCGAGUAAUGUCGGGAACUCCAGGGAGACUGCCGGUGAUAAACCGGAGGAAGGUGGGGACGACGUCAAGUCAUCAUGGCCCUUACGAGUAGGGCUACACACGUGCUACAAUGGCGCAUACAGAGGGCGGCCAACUUGCGAAAGUGAGCGAAUCCCAAAAAGUGCGUCGUAGUCCGGAUUGGAGUCUGCAACUCGACUCCAUGAAGUCGGAAUCGCUAGUAAUCGUGGAUCAGAAUGCCACGGUGAAUACGUUCCCGGGCCUUGUACACACCGCCCGUCACAACCAUGGGAGUGGGCUGCAAAAGAAGUAGGUAG
rnacentral:rRNA from 1 species